rnacentral:lncRNA from 1 species
GGAGUCCGGGUGAGUAGGAGAAGAUGGCGGAGGCAACGGACGGGUCGCGGUUGCGUGGCGUCGCCCACCACGACCCACUCCACGGGCUCUGAGGCCCGGGGAGCGCCAGGUCACUCGCUCCGUCCUGUCCCCCGCCCCUGGGCUUCGCCAUUUUUCCCCAGGGCCUGGGUCGGGGAGUUGGUGCGGGUUUCUUUGGUGUCCCCGGCCUCUUCCGCGCUUAGGCUUUUGGGGUACGGGAAGCAAGGAGUCAACUUGGGUGCCGGGCCGGGUCUACGCCGUAGCCCUCUUUCGGGCGCAAGGGCCACUCCCCCCGGGGUCUGAGAGUGAAUCAGCCCAGGGCCCGGCUUAACUGCAUCGGUGAUUAUCGCUACCCUGCAGUUCCUUGAAGGUCCUCCGUCCUGGAGCAGUAAGAUCCUUGACGUAACUAGAAAUGGCAGGACGGAGUCUCGCUCUGUCACCCAAGCUGGAAUGCCGUGGCGCAAUCUUAGUUCACUGCAACCUCUGCCUCCUCGGUCCAAGCCAUUCUCCUGCCUCAGCCUCCCGAAUAGGCAAAUGAAUAAAAGAACAUCUUUUAUUUACCCGUAUCUGCGACAUUCCUCAUAGUAUGUUUGAAAGCCCAAAUGAUGGAAUCCAAAACAAGUUUAAACUGUGUAGGUGGAAUAGCAAGGAAUGCUGGGAAACAAUGAGAAUUGACAGCCUGAAGUAGUAAGAAAAAGUUCGUUCUAUGUUCAGGAUAUUCUUCAAAGUCCUAAAAAUAAGUGGUGGAAACAAAA